rnacentral:rRNA from 1 species
AACGAACGCUGGCGGCAUGCCUAACACAUGCAAGUCGAACGAGACCUUCGGGUCUAGUUGCGCAGGUGUGCUUACCGCGUGGGAACCUGCCCUUAGGUUCGGAAUCACUCCCCGAAAGGGGUCCUAAUACCGGUUAAUGUCUUCGGACCAAAGAUUUAUGGCCUUUGGAUGGGCCCGCGUUGGAUUAGCUAGUUGGUAGGGUAAAAGCCUACCAAGGCGACGAUCCAUAGCUGGUCUGGGAGGAGGAUCAGCCACACUGGGAAUGAGACACGGCCCAGACUCGGACGGGAGGGAGCAGUGGGGAAUAUUGGACAAUGGGCGAAAGCCUGAUCCAGCAAUGCCGCGUGAGUGAUGAAGGCCUUAGGGUUGUAAAGCUCUUUUACCCGGGAUGAUAAUGACAGUACCGGGAGAAUAAGCUCCGGCUAACUCCGUG